CCUACGGGAGGCAGCAGUGAGGAAUAUUGGUCAAUGGGCGGGAGCCUGAACCAGCCAAGUCGCGUGAAGGAAGAAGGUACUUAGUAUUGUAAACUUCUUUUGUCGGGGAAUAAAGGCGGAGACGCGUCUCCGGAUGAGUGUACCCGAAGAAAAAGCAUCGGCUAACUCCGUGCCAGCAGCCGCGGUACUACGGGGGAUGCGAGCGUUAUCCGGAUUUAUUGGGUUUAAGGGGUGCGCAGGCGGGAGAUAAAGUCAGCGGUAAAAUAUCGGGGCUCAACCCCGGACGGCCGUUGAAACUGGUUGUCUAGAGUUGGAGAGAGGUAUGCGGAAUUCGUGGUGUAGCGGUGAAAUGCAUAGAUAUCACGAAGAACUCCGAUUGCGAAGGCAGCAUACCGGAUCCAAACUGACGCUGAGGCACGAAAGCGUGGGGAUCGAACAGGAUUAGAUACCCGGGUAGUC
rnacentral:rRNA from 1 species